rnacentral:lncRNA from 1 species
CCCUCGGGCUCGCGCAGGUGCUCGGGCCUGGCCGGGCUGGGACCGCAGGCGCCUCUCCCGCGCUCGCCUAGCCCGGGCUGCCCCCGCACGCCCACGCCCCAGGUGUCCGGGCGCGCAUUACCCAGGGGCGCCGUGCCCAGGCCAGGAGGCCAGGGCGGAGCGGGUGAGGGAGAAGCCCAUUUAGAUUCAGAGGGAAGCCGGUCCUGGGAGACGGCCGCGAGGAACAAAGGCGCCCCAGUGCUGCCCACUUAGCAUGCCAGAGCCGCGCUGCUCGGCUCCCAGGCCGGGGACACGGCCCGGUGCUAAGCGGAGGGUGCCCGACCCCGGGAAUUCCUAAGGCCACGAGCACCUCCAAGGCCACCGCCGCACACAGCUUCGGAGUGCACGGUGCACACGCCCAGGCACAGGCAGCCGGCCCGAGAAAUUGUGAAUGUCUUGGCUUUGAGUUUAUCUGCGUAUCCUGGCGAAGUUUGGAUGCAGAGAACUUGGAGCUGUUGUUUUCUACCAGACACUAGGAUCCCUGAGAGAGGUAAUGGCCCCUAGGAAGACACGUCACCAUCGGGGUCCCCUGUAAAGGUUAAAUGGA